AUGUCUUUGGAAAACACCUGGAAUGCUGAAAGCUUUUCCACAUUGCUUACACUUAUAGAAUUAAUGCCGAGUAUGAGUUCUUUCAUGUUUUUUACAACCACUAGCUGUGUUAAAAGCUUUUCCACAUUGUUUACAUAUAUAGGGUUUCUCCCCAGUGUGAAUUCUUUCAUGUCUUUGACAUUUACUUGGCGUGAGGAAAGCCUUCCCACACUGCUUACAUACAUAGGGUUUCUCUUGACUAUGAGUACUUUCAUGUCUUUGACAAUCAUCAUGUGUGCUGAAAGCUUUCCCACAUUGCAUACAUACAUAGGGCUUCUCCCCUGUGUGAAUUCUUUCAUGUGUUUUACAAUAACCUCGUUUAGUAAAAGCUUUCCCACAUUGCUUACAUACAUAAGGUUUCUCCCCUGUGUGAAUUCUUUCAUGUUUUUUAUAACAACCUUGUGUACGAAAAGCUUUUCCACACUGCUUACAUACAUAGGGUUUCUCCCCAGUGUGAGUUCUUUCAUGUCUUUGACAACCAUCACGUGUGCUAAAAGCUUUUCCACAUUGCUUACAUACAUAGGGUUUCUCUCCUGUGUGAAUUCUUUCAUGUAUUUUACAAUAACCUUGUGUAUUAAAAGCUUUCCCACACUGCAUACAUACAUAGAGUUUCCCUCCAUUGUGAUUUCUUUCAUGGAUCUGAACAUCACUGUAUGUGCUGGUGGCUUUCAAAUUUUUCUUAUAUACGAAGGUCUUCUCUCUAAGGUGAAUACUUUCACUAAGAUCAGGGUAGGAUUUCCAAAAUGAACAAAAUCAAAAGGGUUCCCCCCAAGCCUUGGUUUUGCAACCCUCCGAAAAGAACGGAAAACAAGAGGUUCCACCAUCAUCACAACAAUAAAACAUCUCUUCCAAUCCCAAGUCAGAUGUGUUCAGUCCAGUGUGAGCUAUGAUGGGGACAUUUAGUGACAAAUGCCCAAUCGGGGGUUUUUUGCAAGCAAGGCUUUCAGCUGGUGUUAAACCAGCUUGUUUCUUGUCUACAUUAGCAUCUGGAGUACAAAGAAAUAUUUCUUCAAACUGAUUCCAACCUUUAUUUUGAAAGCACUUCUCUACCUCUUCAUUUCUGUAAAGAAAAAAAAAGUCACAAUAAAAUGGGUCUCCACAUUAAUGAUUUACCAUGAGUUCUGGUUUGAUGACCCUUAGAAAAUUCUGACAAUGAAUUAACUGAAUGCUGUGGAGGAUAACUUCAAAACAGCCAUUUCCAAGAGUGGUUUUCAUUUGGGAAUUUUAAAAUUAGUACAUUUUGCAAUACAGAAGGCUUAGUUUCAUUUUGGGCAAUUGAUACAUAUGUAUAUCACAUAUUGAUCAUUUGAUACCUUUUCCCCCAUCACCCUCUCCUUUUUCUCCUUAUCCUGUUUGUUUUUCCCCAUCUCCAAAGUCGGACUUUCCUUUUUAAAUCAUGACUCCUUUAUUUUACGGCCUAAUUUAUAUUUUUGGUUUCUCAUAUAAGAGAAAGUAUGUGAUCUUUCACAUUCUGUGUCUGACUUAUUUCACUUAACACUAUAGGAUGAAGGCCCACCCAUUUCUUUUGGCAAAUGAGAUAAUAUCAUGCAUCUUUAUGACUGAUUAUGUAGCACAUGUUUUCUUUUUCUCUUCCUUUUCAGUGCUGGUAAUUAAACACAAGUCUUAGUACUGAAUUACAUCUCCAGCUUUUUAAUUUAUUUUGAAAGAUUCUCCUUAAUAAUUAAGUUGCUCAAGCUAGCUUCAACUUGUCAUCCUGCUGAAUUAGCUUCCCAGAGUUCUGGGAAUACAUCAUCACACUGAGCCUAUCAAAAUUUUUCUUUAUUCAUGCAACCAGUGUUGGACAGCUAGGCUGAUUCCAGAGGUUAGCUGUUAUAAAUUGUCCUGCUUUGAGUAUGGAUAUGCAUGCAUCAGUAUAAUAUGAAGAUUUUAACACUUUUGUGACUAUACUCAGGAGAGGUAUUCCUAUUGGUACAAUUUAAAUAUACAUAAUAAUCACAUUCAUCAAAGGGAGUUUGUACCUGUAUAUGAUAUAGCUUGAUUCUUUUUCUCCCAUUCCCCUUCCUUUAACCUUCCCUCCCCCCUUAUUUACAAAACCUUAUUUCCAUUUUUUCCUUAUCAAUUUUUUCCUUCCCCCAUCCCCCUUUCCUAGUUUCUCUUUCCUUUUGAACAGUUUCUAUUUCUUAUUAUCUAUUAUAAUUCUGGUCCUUAUUUACCUUUUCAGUCUCUCACACUAGAGAGACAAUGAGCUAUUUAUUUCACUUAAGAGUAUAGUCUCAAGUUGCAUCCAUUUAGCUAUAAAUGUCUCAAGUUUAUCUUUAUGGCUGAGUAGUACUCCAAUGUAUAAAAAAACCACAUGUUUUUAUCCAUUCAUUGGUUGAUGGGUAUUUGGAUUGUUUCCAAGAUUUAGCUAUUACAAACUGUGUCACUAUAAACAUGAGUGCACACAUAUUAUUGUUGUACAAGGCUUUUAAUUCCUUUGGGAAGAUACCCAGCAGAGUCAAAUGGGACUUCUAAACCUAAUUUUCUGAGGAAUCUCCACACUGAUUUCCACAAUGGUUCCAACAGACUGCACUCCCACCAUCAGUGGAGAAGGGUUUCUUUUUCCUCACAACUUCACCAGCAUUUGUUGUUCAUUGAUUUCUUGAUAACAGCCAUUCUUUCUGGAGUGAGAUGAAACCUCAGCAUUGUUUUAAUUUGCAUCUCUUGGAUGACCAGUGAUGUUGAACACUUUUUCAUAUUUGUUUGCCAUUUCUACUUCUUCAUCUGAGAAGUGUCUAUUCAAUUCAGAUGCCAAUUCUAGGAUCGGGUCUUUAAAUUUGGAGAGCCUGAUUUUUUUCAAUUCUUUGUACAUUCUAGAUAUUAGUCUUUUAUCUGAAGCAUUACUGGCUAAAAUUUUUCCUCACUCUUUGGACUGUCUCUUCACUCUGUCGAUUUCUUUUGCAGUGCAAAACCUUUUUAAUAAGAUCAGAUCCCUGAAUCAGCUGAAUCUUUGCACUAUUUGCCGUGCAGUUUGGGUUUUGUUCAUGAAGUCAUUGCCUACUCCUAUGGCCUCAAGAGUGCUACCUAUUCUCUCUUCCAACAGAUUUAGUGUUUCUGUUUUAAUAUUUAGAUGUUUGAUCCAUUUUGACUUUAGUUUAGUACAUGGUGAGAGAUAUGGAUGUAGUUUUAAUCUUUGACAUGUAGAAAGUCAGUUUUUCCAGCACCACUUAUAAAAGAGGGUAUCCUUCCUCCAGUGAACAUGUUUGGCCCCUUUGUCAAAGGUAAGGUGGCUGAGUGUUUGGUCUUUUUUCCACCUCUUCUAGCCUGUUCCCUUUGAUCCUCAGGUUUAUUUUUUGCCAGUACCAUGCUGUUUUUAUCACAGUGGCUCUGUACUAUAAUUUUAAGUCAGGGAUUGUGAUGCCCCCUGCCUGUGUUGCUCAGAAUUGUUUUUGCUAUUCUAGGUUUCUUCUGGAUCCAAAUGAAUUUUAGGAAUGUUUUCUCUAGUUUUGUGAGGUAUGCUGUUAAUUUGAUUGGGAUUGUAUUAAAUCUGUAUAACAAUUUUGGGGGUAUGGCCAUUUUCACUAUGUUGGCUCUUCCUACCCAAGAGCAGGGGAUAUCUUUCCAUCUUCUGAUAUCCUCUUCAAUUUCCUUAAGAGUACUGUAGUUUUCUACCUAUAGGUCCUUUAUUAGAUUGAUUCCUGAGUAUUUCAUUUUCUUUGGUGUCAUUGUGAAAGGUGUUGUUUCCCUAAUUUUUCAAUGAUUUUGUUGUGUACAAGAAUGCUAUUGAGUUUUGAAUGUGGACUUUGUAAAAAGCUAGCUACUGAAUGUGAGUAUUAAAUCUAGAAGUUUUUUGGUGGAGUUUUUGGGGUCUUCUGUAUAGAGAAUGAUGUCAUCUGCAAAUAAUGAUAACAAUUUCUUCCUUUCUUAUGUUUGUUCCUUUUAUUUCCUUUUCUUCUCCAAUUGCUCUAGCUAAUGUUUCCAGAACUAAGUUGAACAGGAGUGGUGAUAGUGGACAUCCUUAUCUUGUUCCUGAUUUUAGUGUGAAAGCUUUAAAUUUUCGACCAUUUAGUAAGAUGUUGGUUAUUGGUUUGUCAGAGAUGGCUUUUAUCAGAUUGAGAUAAAGACCACUGAUUCCUAUUUUCUAUAGUUUUUUUUUUUUUUUAUCAUGAAUGAGCGUUGUACUUGUCAAAUGCUUUUUCUGUGUCUAUUGAGAUGAUCAUGUGAUUUUUGUCUUUGGCUUUGUUGAUUUGGUGUAUUACAUUUGUUGAUUUGUGUAUGUUGAACCAUCCCUGCAUCCCUACAAUGAAUCCUAUUUGGUCACGGUGUAUAAUCUUCUUGAUGAUUUGUUGCAUUUUGUUUGCCAAUAUCUUAUUGAGGAAUUUUGCAUCUAUGUUCAUUAGGGAGAUUGGCUUGUAGUUUUGCUUUUUGGUUG
rnacentral:lncRNA from 1 species